rnacentral:lncRNA from 1 species
UGUAAACAUAUGGCCUUGGUAAACAUCAUAUCAGUCUCUGUGCUGGUAAAAGCUAGUUAUUUCUUUGAAUUGUGGUGGAGUUUUGGUUCAGUAGUCUGGGCGUGGCGCAGCCAGAGCAGCUCUGCGCUCCAAGGUCCUGUGGUGGUGAGCGUCUCGCCUCACCAGAGAUGGACUGGCGAUGGAUGCCAAGAUGCCAGCUUUCAAACACCAGGUCCCAGAAUCAAUGUGUCUCCGGAAUGGCACGACAGAAAGUCCGACCCGCCUACGAGCUGCUGUCUGCUUCGUGCGGUCUGGCCGCACAGACGUACUCGGUGCAUGCCCGGAAAGGAGAAAGAGACAGCCUUCCUCUUCACCAUUGACAGCGGCAUGGACGUCCUCAACAGCGGCCAUCCGAGGGACGCCAAAACACUGCGGAGAGGCUGCUCCGGCACUCUCGGGCAGGAGGACGCCCUCUCUAAGCUGGUGGAAGAGGUGGAGGGACUGCGCUUCGGCUCAGCUGGUCACCUCCUCCAGUUCCAGAAGGGUCUAGUAGUGACAGUGAAGGUAGAGCGGGGUCUGCUCGCUGACGUGCAGCAGCGUUUUGGCCCGGGCUGCUAACUGCUGCUCCGCCACGUCACCCAGAACCGACUUUAGGGCUCGUUCAGCCACAUCCGCGGCUCUGGCGGCGGAAGCCCCAACCCCACGACGACAGAGGUGAAGGGGCGCCUCCGCCUGUUCACUCUGAUCCAGCUUGCGCGUCACGGGCCCACGGCGUGCAGAUUAAGAGUUGCUCACCCGCGGCGCUCCCGGUACCAGCGGCGGAGGUGGAGGCGGGGGCAGAGCCGGAGGCAGACGAGGACCAAGCCGACCAGGCGCAGAUGGUGUGCUGGAGGCGGUAUGCCCUGAGCCGCCCCAAGAAGUUCCUGAGGGGACGGAGAGCCUGGAGCCCGUUCCUGACGAGCCAGCCCCGGACGCAGAGGAGGAGGCGGAGCAGGAGAGGGCGCAGCUACUGCGGGAGGCCGAGACAGUGCAUAUACCGCCUGCGCCCUCAGCGGCGCUGGACGCUGAGAUUGGUGUGCCGGCCACCGAAGGUGCAAUGGCGCAUCUGGUUGGCUACAUCGCCAGAAAAUGCGGCCCCAGCUUCGGCGCGCUGGCGAUGGCAUCUGAGGACGCGCCCGUUCAGACGCUCUGGACUCGACUGCGCAGCGCGGCCGGCGGACUCACGAUCCCCUCCCAGCCCUGCUUAGACCUGUUUAAUCAGCUCGAGGCGGAGUUCAUAUAUGUUUCACGUGUUCGCUGAAGUGUCUUGAAAAUGCUUAAAUGUGUGCCAUUCGUGAUUUGCCUGAUGAUGCAGUACAAAACGCGUUGCAGUUAAUAUAGCUGAUGAUAUGUAAAUGCAGUCUACAUCCAUAUCGUGCUCAAAUAAUGUAGCGCACAAGCUACCCUGAGGUAGGUUUUGAAUUCACCGAAUUUUCCAGUCGACUGUUCAGAUGGAAAUCAACUUGAGUACCCUGGUAUGCUGAGUAUGUUUUCGUAUUGUUACAUAGCGUACCGUCGGACAGAAUGGAGUGCUAUGCUGCUGUGACAUUCAUCGAACCUCCCGUUUGUGCAUGUGUGCACUUUCACAUAUCGUGCUAUCUGAAAUUGAAUCGACCUAUGCCGCUGUGCCGCUGCCUGGGUUGCCGGCGACAGCGGCGGGGCGCAUCUGAUCGGCACAAUGUUACAGAUCAGGAUCCGUCCUGCAGUCUGGAGGUAGUCGGACCGGUGUUUGUCUAGCCAGAUGUACUCCAUCGAAUCACUGAUGUUCAUCUGUAAGGCUGUGUUCUUGCCUAAUGCUGCUUCCACCCAUUCAGUCCGUUUUGAAUUGUAAUAGAGGAAGCCAGAUGUCAUAGAUGUCUUCGUUUAAGGGAUUGUUUUCGCAUGUCAUGCAUCGGAAAUACAAUCAAAAUAGAAUUAA